rnacentral:rRNA from 1 species
AGGACUAACGCUGGCGGCGUGCCUAACACAUGCAAGUCGAACGGACUGUAGCAAUACAGUUAGUGGCAGACGGGUGAGUAACGCGUAGAUAACGUGCCCCUCCGCUGGGGAUAGCCACUGGAAACGGUGGGUAAAACCGAAUAUUCUUGUCCGGGGACAUCCCUGGAGAAGGAAAACUUUCGAGUGCGGAGGGAGCGGUUUGCGUCCUAUUAGCUAGUUGGUAAGGUAAAAGCUUACCAAGGCGACGAUGGGUAGCCGGUCUGAGAGGAUGAUCGGCCACACUGGCACUGAGAUACGGGCCAGACUCUUACGGGAGGCAGCAGUGAGGGAUUUUGCGCAAUGGAGGAAACUCUGACGCAGCGACGCCGCGUGCGGGACGAAGCCUUUCGGGGUGUAAACCGCUGUCAGUGGAGAAGAGAAUGGACGGUACCCACUGAGGAAGCCUCGGCUAACGUACGCGCCAGCAGCCGC